rnacentral:rRNA from 1 species
UUUGAACCGCAUGGUUCGAAAAURAAAGGYGGCUUCGGCURUCACUUACRGAUGGACCCGCGUCGCAUUAGCUAGUUGGUGAGGUAACGGCUCACCAAGGCAACGAUGCGUAGCCGACCUGAGAGGGUGAUCGGCCACACUGGGACUGAGACACGGCCCAGACUCCUACGGGAGGCAGCAGUAGGGAAUCUUCCGCAAUGGACGAAAGUCUGACGGAGCAACGCCGCGUGAGUGAUGAAGGCUUUCGGRUCGUAAARCUCUGUUGUUAGGGAAGAACAAGURCYRKUYGAAUAAGSUGGCACCUUGACGGUACCUAACCAGAAAGCCACGGCUAACUACGUGCCAGCAGCCGCGGUAAUACGUAGGUGGCAAGCGUURUCCGGAAUUAUUGGGCGUAAAGSGCKCGCAGGYGGUUUCUUAAGUCUGAUGUGAAAGCCCMCGGCUCAACCGKGGAGGGUCAUUGGAAACUGGGAGACUUGAGUGCAGAAGAGGARAGUGGAAUUCCAUGUGUAGCGGUGAAAUGCGUAGAGAURUGGAGGAACACCAGUGGCGAAGGCGACUYUCUGGUCUGUAACUGACRCUGAGGMGCGAAAGCGUGGGGAGCRAACAGGAUUAGAUACCCUGGUAGUCCACGCCGUAAACGAUGAGUGCUAAGUGUUAGRGGGUUUCCGCCCUUUAGUGCUGCUAGCUAACGCAUAAGC